rnacentral:piRNA from 1 species
CCUGGUCCACAAUGUCAAGGAGCUGG